rnacentral:lncRNA from 1 species
CCCGUGGUUUCGCACUUUUUCAUUUUAGUACCCUGUGGUUUAAAGUGUAUCAAGUUAGUACCCUAUGGUUUUUCACUUUAUCACUUUAGUACCCUGUGGUUUACAGUGUAUCAAGUUAGUACUCUGUGGUUUUAUUUUUGUAUCAAGUUAGUACCCUAUGAUUUUAUUUUUAUAUCAAGUUAGUACCUUGUGGUUUUUAAACCACAUGGUACUAAAGUGAUAAAGUGCGAAACCACAGGAUACUAAAGUGAUAAAGUGCGAAACCACAUAGUACUAACUUGAUACACUUUAAACCACAGGGUACUAAAGUGAAAAAGUGCAAAACCACAUGGUACUAACUUGAUACACUUUAAACCACAGGGUACUAAACUGAAAAAAAGUAAAACCACAAGGGGGGUAUUUGAAGUUUUCCCUUUUA